GACGAACGCUGGCGGCGUGCUUAACACAUGCAAGUCGAACGGAAAGGCCCCUUUUGGGUUGCUCGCUCGGCGGACGGACGGGUAACACAUAAGUAACCUGCCCUUCCCUUCGUGUUAACUUCCUGAAACUGGGUCUAAUACCUACUAGGAAUCCUUGCUUCAUGGUGGGGGUGGGAAGGCUUCUGGGGGUUUGGAGGGACUGGCGGGUUAUCUGCUUGUUGGUGGGGGGGGGGCUUACCAAGGCUUUCACGGGUGGCCGGCCUGAGAGGGCGACCGGCCACAUUGGGACUGAGAUACGGCCCAGACUCCUACGGGGGGGAGGAGUGGGGAAUAUUGCACAAUGGGCGGAAGCCCGAUGGAGCAACGCCGCGGGCGGGAUGACGGCCUUCGGGUUGGAAACCGCUUUCAGCAGGGGCGAAGCUUGUGGUGACGGUACCUGCAGAAGAAGCACCGGCUAACUACGUG
rnacentral:rRNA from 1 species